UACAUUGUUGUAUUGAAUGCCCCUUGC
rnacentral:sRNA from 1 species